UGACUCAAAGUAUGCAAUGACAAACAAUGUUAAAAAAAGAAUCAACAACAUCACCAAGUUAUAUAAACAUGUAUUAUAUAUAAUUACAAUUAUGUCAUAAUGUCUUGUAAAUUACUGUGUACAAAUACAUUUUGUUUGUUUUGAUCAAUGUUACGAGUAUCCUUUGUGCAGAGAAACAUUCACCUCUUAUUGUCAUAUUCAGUUUCAAAUUUAAAAAAAUGGUCUUGCUAACUUUAAACAAUGACACAGUUCAGCUACUCUAAUUAUCAUACUUAUUGUAUGAUCGAAUUACUGUAUUGUUCUACAUAUUUUUUUCCACACAUUAUGAGCCUAGACAGCUGCUUGAUCACUAGACAUAAAUAAUUCUUAAAACGUUUGUUUUUUGUACUAACAAGGUUUAUUUCCUAUAGGACAAAUGUCCUACGUGAUUAGUUCCUAGCAUCCUUCUAUUUCAACUCUAACCUAAGACUAUCUAUUUCUUUCACUGCAGCUCCUACAUAACAUGGCACAUGUACACAAUUUAUCGAUCUAUAAUUUUAAUUGGACUAAUUAUGUAUUCAGAUAGACUUUUCGAAUUAUUUUUUUUUUGAUGAUAAGUAAAAUUAAAAAGAUAAUUUUAAUAAAAAUUUCACUAGAGGUAUUUAGUGAACUGAAUAUAUUAAUCUUGGUAAAUGUUAAAUUCAAUACUU